CUCCGUGCCAGCAGCCGCGGUAAUACGGAGGAGGCAAGCGUUAUCCGGAAUUAUUGGGCGUAAAGCGUCCGUAGGUGGCCCGGCAAGUCUGCUGUCAAAGACCACAGCUCAACUGUGGAAAGGCAGUGGAAACUGCAAGGCUAGAGUGCGGUAGGGGUAGAGGGAAUUCCCAGUGUAGCGGUGAAAUGCGUAUAGAUUGGGAAGAACACCGGUGGCGAAAGCGCUCUACUGGGCCGCAACUGACACUGAUGGACGAAAGCUAGGGGAGCGAAUGGGAUUAGAUACCCCAGUAGUCCUAUUUGUAAACGAUGGAAACUAGGUGUAGCACGUAUCGACCCGUGCUGUAUCGGAGCUAACGCGUUAAGUUUCCCGCCUGGGGAGUACGCACGCAAGUGUGAAACUCAAAGGAAUUGACGGGGGCCCACACAAGCGGUGGAGUAUGUGGUUUAAUAAGAAGCAACGCGAAAAACCUUACCAGGGCUUGACAUGUCCGGAACCUCUGUGAAAGCAGAGGGGGCCUUCUGGGAGCCGGAACACAGGUGGUGCAUGGCUGUUGUCAGCUAGGGUUGUGAGAUGUUGGGGUAAGUCCCGCAACGAGCGCAACCCUCGUCCUUAGUUGCCAGCAUUUUGGAUGGGCACUUUAGGGAGAAUGCCGGUGACAAACCGGAGGAAGGUGGGGAUGACGUCAAGUCAGCAUGCCCCUUACGUCCUGGGCGACACACGUACUACAAUGCUUUGGACAAAGAGCAGUCAACCCAAAGAGGGCGAGCUAAUCUCAUAAAC
rnacentral:rRNA from 1 species